CUACGGGCCGCUGCAGUGGGGAAUCUUGGACAAUGGGGGGAACCCUGAUCCAGCGAUGCCGCGUGUGUGAAGAAGGCCUGAGGGUUGUAAAGCACUUUUAGUUAAGAGGAUGGUAUGCGUGUAAAGGAUGUAUACUGACGUAAUUGACAGAAAAAGCACCGGCAAACUCUGUGCCAGCAGCCGCGGUAAUACAGAGGGUGCAAGCGUUAAUCGGAAUGACUGGGCGUAAAGGGCACGUAGGCGGUUAAUCAAGUUAGAAGUGAAAGGCCAAGGCUCAACCUUGGUGAGCAUCUAAGACUGAGUAACUAGAAUCGAGGAGAGGAAAGUGGAAUUUCCGGAGUAGCGGUGAAAUGCGUAGAUAUCGGAAAGAACAUCAGUGGCGAAGGCGACUUCCUGGCUGAAGAUUGACGCUGAGGUGCGAAAGCGUGGGUAGCGAACAGGAUUAGAUACCCCGGUAGUC
rnacentral:rRNA from 1 species